rnacentral:rRNA from 1 species
GACGAACGCUGGCGGCAUGCCUAACACAUGCAAGUCGAACGGAAAGGCCCUGCUUUUUCGGGGUGCCCGAGUGGCGCAGGGGUGAGUAACACGUGAGUAACCUGCCCUUGACUUGGGGAUGACUUCAGGAAACCGGGGCUAACACCGGAGAGGAGCUCCAGCUGCAUGGGGGGGGUCGGAAAGUUUGGUGGGUUGGGGACGGACUCGGGGUUAACGAGCUGGUGGGUGGGGUAGUGGCUUACCAAGGCUUGGACGGGUAGCCGGCCUGGAAGGGAGACCGGCAACAUGGUGCUAAGGGAGGGCCCAGUGGGCAACGGUGGGCAACGGGUGGGAAUAUUACACAAUGGGCGGAAGCCUGAUGCAGCAACGCCGCGUGCGGGAUGACGGCCUUCGGGUUGUAAACCGCUUUCGCCUGUGACGAAGCGUGAGUGACGGUAAUGGGUGAAGAAGCACCGGCUAACUACGUG